AGUUACUGUAGAAUUAAUGUUGCAUAUUGUUUACACGGAUUUUAGGUACGCUUGGUAUAUCUGGCUUGGCGGAGCUUGGUGAACGUCGUGUGCACCCUAGUGCCAUACACCGGGGUGUGUUUAAUUGACCGGGAAUAAAACGUUCUCACCCCGUAA